rnacentral:rRNA from 1 species
UGGCAGGGGAACGCGAAGAACCUUACCUGGGCUUGACAUGUGCCUGACGAUCCCGGAGACGGGGUUUCCCUUCGGGGCGGGUUCACAGGUGGUGCAUGGUCGUCGUCAGCUCGUGUCGUGAGAUGUUGGGUUAAGUCCCGCAACGAGCGCAACCCUCGCCGCGUGUUGCCAGCGGGUCAUGCCGGGAACUCACGUGGGACCGCCGGGGUUAACUCGGAGGAAGGUGGGGAUGACGUCAGAUCAUCAUGCCCCUUACGUCCAGGGCUUCACGCAUGCUACAAUGGCCGGUACAACGGGGUGCGACACGGUGACGUGGGGCGGAUCCCUGAAAACCGGUCUCCAUUUGGGUCGCAUGUGCAAAUCGGCUGCGUGAAGGUGGAGUUGGUAGUUAAUGCGGA